rnacentral:rRNA from 1 species
UGGGGAAUCUUGCGCAAUGGCCGAAAGGCUGACGCAGCGACGCCGCGUGUGGGAGGACGCCUUUCGGGGUGUAAACCACUGUUGCCCGGGACGAACAUCCCUUUUCGAGGGGACUGACGGUACCGGGUGAGGAAGCACCGGCUAACUCCGUGCCAGCAGCCGCGGUAAUACGGAGGGUGCGAGCGUUGUCCGGAAUCAUUGGGCGUAAAGGGCGCGUAGGUGGCGGGACAAGCGUGCGGUGAAAGCUCGGGGCUCAACCCCGAGUCGGCCGUGCGAACUGCUGGGCUCGAGCACUGUAGAGGCAGGCGGAAUUCCGGGUGUAGCGGUGGAAUGCGUAGAGAUCCGGAAGAACACCGGUGGCGAAGGCGGCCUGCUGGGCAGUAGCUGACACUGAGGCGCGACAGCGUGGGGAGCAAACA